CGUUCGCAUACCUCCUAACAGACACGCCUGAGAAACUACCCGAAAGCAGCUCUCCACAACUGUCUGUAGAUGCUCUCAAGGGACACUGAGGCAGACUGCUCGAGGAAAGCAACUGAUACAAAUGCCUAGGGAUGGGACCGCCCACAGAGAGCUGGGCCCUGCUAUGCCAAUGAAGAAAAGACCUCCACAGACAUGCCUACAGCUUAUUGAGAACUGUGGCUGAACCUGGCUCGGGGCACUGACUGGGACUCCAAAGAAUGAACAAAUCCUUUCCUGGAAUGUUAGCCUCAGUUGACCCCAAUGCCUUUCCCUCAGGUCUGAGUGGACUUCGGCACAUCCUUCUCACAGUUACUGCUCAUCAGACACACAGACCGUAAGCUGGCUGGGAGGCAGAGCGAUGGUUCAAUGGUUAAGAGCAUUGGUUGCUGUUGCAGAGGAUCCAGGCUUAGUUCUCAUCACCCGCACGGUUGCUCAAAAUCAUCCAUAACUCCAGUUCCAGGGAAUCUGAUACCCUCUUCUGACCUCCAUGGACACCGGGAACAGAUGAAAAUCAAACACUUGUGUACACUAAGAAAAAUAAAUAAAUCUAAAACAAACAAAAUACUCACAAAACCUUAAGCUGGGAUUCUGCCAUUUUCUCUUGCAGAGGCAUUGGUAGGUAUUUCCAGGAGCCAUUAGCUCUGUUGGCAAGUCAGUACAUGAAACUGAAGACAGCAAGAAUAAUGGCAGGACGAGCGGUCCAGGCAAAGAGUUACACAAGAGCUAGGCCUGGAAUGUGCUUUAAAGAUGGACGAGG